GUCAACGGCACAGGUGCUGAUUUUUCAUUUUUUGGUUGUUUUUUUUUUAUUCACGACUGUGUUAAUGGACUAUUCGACUGGAACCAUGUUGAUUUCUGAAACUCAUCAGUAGCCUAUAGGUUGGUGGGAGUGUCAAAUCACCAGACCACAAGAAGUAUUUUUAAGUUGCAAGAAUGAACAAAGAACUUAAUGUGAGUGAUCUUGGUGAACUUGCAGAUUGCAAUGAAUGAAUGGUGAUGCCAACGAAAAGUUCAGCAACGGGCAAAGGAUAAAACAACAACCCCUCUUGCAACUUGAUCAUCCCAUCGCCGCCGGCUCCGCCUCUCGUCCGACCCGCCGAGCCCUCCCGCACCAUCAUCCAUCACGUUAAAUUCCCCGCGCUUCUUUAUUCUGCGGUGAUGGGCCUCAAAAAUGCGCCUUGUGUUGGUUUCUAUAUGCGUGUGAUGGGCGGCAGGCGCUCGCGGUGCAAAGGCCUUUAGCGUCGUAUAUAGUCGGUAGGUUAUCGCCAUCUCCAUUUCUUUCUUCCUCUUCGUGAUACAUUCACGCUCCGUCGCUCGUUCAUUCCCUCCUGGUUGUCUCUCGCUUCUCGUUAUCUUUCCUUUCUCUCGCUGUGGGCCUUAUUGUUGGGAAAAAGGGAAAUUCGAGGAGUCGUCUGGAUAUUAUUUCAGACGACGGUGUGGGUGUGUAUUUAUUAGAAGUGAAAUGAUUCGCCGCUUUCCGGAGGCCGUCGGUUCGAUAUUAUGGCCACACUCUGCUGCUGCGACGACAGAAGCCAGCCAGCAGACGAGUCUGCUGUAGAUAGUGUUAGACGAUUCCAUCACUUUUUCUUUUGUAUUUUGAGGUUUUUUAACGAGUCAGCCGAUCUUUUCGCACGCUGUACGACCGCGGUCUUUGUCAUCAUUUUCUGUUGGUUGGGAGACCUUUUCUUGCCUCGCUUGGCCCUGUAUAGAUUUCAACUAUUAUUAUAUAUUAUUGACACUAGCGAUGCGAACACAAAAGUUCCGGGAUCUUGCGAAAAAGGAAGUCGAAUAAAAAUAAAAAUAUUCCGCAGUGAAAUUUAAAAAAAAUGAAAGAAAUAAAGAAUUCACCGGAUAUCUUUUAUGUAUAGAAACGACUAGCGGUUGGCGGUUGAUAUUUUCAUUUCUAUUUAAAAUUUCAUUCGGUUCCACCAUAACAUAAAAAAUACAGUGGAAUGACAUCAAAUUUUACUGCGACCACUCAGCGUGCACUACUGCAGCCCCUCUUCUCUGUAUUAUAUAUACUGGACAUCACGUCUAUAUGGGCCAUGACUGGGGAUAUGUAGGCCGACCAUAUUCCGAGAUGUAUUGAAGACUAUUAGCGGAAUAGAUAUAGACGGGAAAAGAAUAAAGAGGGAAGAAAGAAAAGCUGCGAUAGAUAUAGCGAAGAAAAGGAACUGAGAGAUCAAUGACGACUGCCGGGUGUGGGCGACUAACGGAGCUAGUGGGGAGGGGGGGCUUUGGUCCACGAUGAGGAUGUCGCCUGUCAAAAGGGAUAGCUGCACCGGACGGAAGAAGAGUGCAGUCAGUGUAUGUGUAGCUAUAGAAAAAGAGUGCGCUGCUCUAUUGGUCUCCUCUCUUUUCUUUUCUGUGUACACAGAACUGGCAUUAGCCACGAAUGGCUAACUUUGUACUUUUCUAUCUUGUUCUCUUUCUCCCUCUCUCUAUACUACUACCCCGCUAUUUUAUUUUUGUUGCUUGGUUUUUUCUCUUUCUUUCUUUCUUCUGUGUAAUCAUAGCGAAAAACUGUACUGUGCAAGUGUGCAGUAACUUUUACAACUUGCAAGAUUUGGUCGACAGGCCAUGAGAGAAUGAUGAGCUUCAGGAAUUUUUCAGCUCUUCAAUUUUAAAUGGUACGUGGAUCAAACUUUGUAGCGAUAUUAAAUAUCAAGGCCACGAGAAAUCAAACGCUGAAUUUUUCAAUAAUAAAUAUUACAUCGCAAUCCGUAAAACCGCAAUUGUCGAUGAUUUAUCGACCACGCCAGUUUCAGAUGGGCACAGCAUUUACUGCUGUUUUGCUUUUACCUCAUUUUCGCUUGGUUAGUCGCCGGUUAUUUCAG